AGAGUUUGAUCCUGGCUCAGAGUGAACGCUGGCGGCAUGCCUAACACAUGCAAGUCGAACGGCAGCACAGUAGUAGCAAUACUAUGGGUGGCGAGUGGCGGACGGGUGAGGAAUACAUCGGAAUUUGCCCUGUCGUGGGGGAUAACGUAGGGAAACUUACGCUAAUACCGCAUACGACCUAACGGUGAAAGCGGGGGAUCGAAAGACCUCGCGCGGUUGGAGAAGCCGAUGUCAGAUUAGCUAGUUGGCGGGGUAAAGGCCCACCAAGGCGACGAUCUGUAGCUGGUCUGAGAGGAUGAUCAGCCACACUGGGACUGAGACACGGCCCAGACUCCUACGGGAGGCAGCAGUGGGGAAUAUUGGACAAUGGGGGCAACCCUGAUCCAGCAAUGCCGCGUGUGUGAAGAAGGCCUUCGGGUUGUAAAGCACUUUUAUCUGGAGCGAAACACGCAAGGUUAAUAACUUUGCGGACUGACGGUACCAGAGGAAUAAGCACCGGCUAACUUCGUGCCAGCAGCCGCGGUAAUACGAAGGGUGCAAGCGUUACUCGGAAUUACUGGGCGUAAAGCGUGCGUAGGUGGUUUCUUAAGUCUGCUGUGAAAGCCCCGGGCUCAACCUGGGAAUUGCAGUGGAUACUGGGAAGCUAGAGUGCGGUAGAGGGUAGUGGAAUUCCCGGUGUAGCGGUGAAAUGCGUAGAGAUCGGGAGGAACACCAGUGGCGAAGGCGGCUACCUGGACCAGCACUGACACUGAGGCACGAAAGCGUGGGGAGCAAACAGGAUUAGAUACCCUAGUAGUCC
rnacentral:rRNA from 1 species